rnacentral:rRNA from 1 species
UGGGGAAUAUUGCACAAUGGGCGCAAGCCUGAUGCAGCCAUGCCGCGUGUGUGAAGAAGGCCUUCGGGUUGUAAAGCACUUUCAGCGGGGAGGAAGGCGUUAAGGUUAAUAACCUUGGCGAUUGACGUUACCCGCAGAAGAAGCACCGGCUAACUCCGUGCCAGCAGCCGCGGUAAUACGGAGGGUGCAAGCGUUAAUCGGAAUUACUGGGCGUAAAGCGCACGCAGGCGGUCUGUCAAGUCGGAUGUGAAAUCCCCGGGCUCAACCUGGGAACUGCAUUCGAAACUGGCAGGCUAGAGUCUUGUAGAGGGGGGUAGAAUUCCAGGUGUAGCGGUGAAAUGCGUAGAGAUCUGGAGGAAUACCGGUGGCGAAGGCGGCCCCCUGGACAAAGACUGACGCUCGGGUGCGAAAGCGUGGGGAGCAAACAGG